rnacentral:rRNA from 1 species
CAUGCAGGCGGUCGGACGCGUUUUGUGUGACAGCGGGUGGCUUAACUACCCGAGGAUGCGAAAGACGGUUUGACUUGAGGGCUCGAGAGGGACACGGAAUUCCGGGUGGAGUGGUGAAAUGCGUAGAGAUCCGGAGGAACACCGGAGGCGAAGGCAGUGUCCUGGCGAGUGACUGACGCUGAGGUGCGAAAAGCUAGGGGAGCGAACG